rnacentral:rRNA from 1 species
GAUGAACGCUGGCGGCGUGCCUAAUACAUGCAAGUCGAGCGAACAGACGAGGAGCUUGCUCCUCUGACGUUAGCGGCGGACGGGUGAGUAACACGUGGAUAACCUACCUAUAAGACUGGGAUAACUUCGGGAAACCGGAGCUAAUACCGGAUAAUAUAUUGAACCGCAUGGUUCAAUAGUGAAAGACGGUUUUGCUGUCACUUAUAGAUGGAUCCGCGCCGCAUUAGCUAGUUGGUAAGGUAACGGCUUACCAAGGCAACGAUGCGUAGCCGACCUGAGAGGGUGAACGGCCCCACUGGAACUGAGGCACGGUCCCGGCCCCUACGGGAGGGAGGAAUAGGGAAUCUUCCGGAAUGGGCGAAAGCCUGACGGAGCAACGCCGCGGUAGUGAUGAAGGUCUUCGGAUCGUAAAACUCUGUUAUUAGGGAAGAACAAAUGUGUAAGUAACUAUGCACGUCUUGACGGUACCUAAUCAGAAAGCCACGGCUAACUACGUG